GCCCUAGUAAAAAUCUAAGGUGUAACCUGCCCAAUGGUUUUUUAUUAAUAUAAUUAAAAUUUAUAAAAUAAAACUUAAAGGACGCGGUAACCUUGACCGUGAUAAUGUAGCAUAAUCAUUCGCCAUUUAAUUGAUGGAUAGUAUGAAUGGUUGAACGAAUAUUUCACUGUCUUAAAAAGAAACACCAAAAAACUAGAAUAAUAGUAAAGAUACUAUUUAAAAUUGUAAGACGAAAAGACCCUAUAGAGCUUAACUAUAAUCUUCACUUAAAAACUUAAAAAUUUUAUAUUAUGAGAAGAUUGGUAGUUUAGUUGGGGCGACUAUCUUUUAAAAAAAACAAAGAUAAGCAAAGUAAAUAAAAGAAAUAACUUAUUGUAUAAUAAAUCAAUUUAACAAUUAUAAUAAUAGGCUAUAAUGACCCGUUAUAUAUAAGUAAUAAUUAUAACGAUCAAUAAAUAAAAGCUACCUUAGGGAUAACAGGAUAAUUUUAUUUUAGAGACCCAAUCGAAGAUAAAGUUUGUCACCUCUAUGUUGAAUUAAGAUAUCCUGAUAAUGUAGAAGUUAUCAAAGGUAGGUCUGUUCGACCUUUAAAAUCUU
rnacentral:rRNA from 1 species